AAGGAUGUGUGUGUAUAGAGGUAAGGGUGGGAACGUGGUUCCAGUCCUCCUCUACUGCUGCUUUUCCAGAAGCUUCUUUGUUCCCACUCUUUUAAGUUCCCAGGCUGACAUUUGGUGGGCUUUUAUGGGAUGGCUGUGCCCAACGUAGACACAUAUAGUUGAGCAGGUUAGGAUUUGGUACGUGUAUGCAGGGAACAAUGCAAAAGGAAAAUUUUCAGUAUCUUUUACUUUUGUUUUUGCUGAUCUCCCCCAACUAUAAUCACGGGGUGAAGUACAGCUGUGGGAAACCCCAGGGGCAGGUCCCCUGUCCCCUUCCUGCCACUCGACACACCUCAGGAGGACUACAAAAGGAAACAUAUCAAUCAUCACAACUUGCCCGUGACUGUUGCAUGUCAAGUGGCUGGAACCAAUCAGCUCAUCUAAGGCUUCCUCAGAAGCCAAUCAGAGCCUUGGAAAGUGACCUCACACAAAGGAGAGCUAUGUGGGCGAGAAAGAACCUCUCAGAUCUCUGUAAUCAUCCUUUGUAAA